CUUCCCCUAAUAAACUCUUCCUAAACCCUAUCUCUAUUCCCAAACCAAUUUCUCUUUUCACGUACCUAAUAAUGUCAUCAUAAAUUUUUUCCCCCAAUUCAUUUUGUAAAAUGGAAUCGUUUCUACAAUUUUCCAGGUUGUUGCAAUGGCUGCCGUAAGAAAUGAUUUUGUUAAGGAAAUCAAUCCCUCUAAGGAAUCUUGGGACAUUGUUGUUCAGGUGAUUCGCUUAUGGUUUGUACCAGAUAUGAAUUUGAAAGAAUUUUUUUUUGCGAUGAAGAUGGUUCUAAUGGAUGAGAAGGGUGGUUGACUCAAGAUCCAAUUGAUACAUUGUUAUCAUCCUGCAAAUGUUAUGAAAUGACGAAACAAACAACCUAGCAGUUGUGUACCCCUGUUUUGACUGCGAGUGCGACUUUUGAGUACUGGUCAUUGUGUUGUUUGUAUUGGUGUUGUGUUGAUGUGAUUUGUGAGUUGCUGUCGUGUUGCCGUUGUUAUUGGUAAUUUUUUAGUGCACAUACUGGAAUGGUGAUUCUACUGGUGAAAAGAUGAUAUUUAUAAUUAUGUUCCAUACUGCAUUUGUGCGGUCAAAUAUAAUGAUGCAGAUCCUUGAUGAAGAUGAUAUUUUGUUGUUGGGAUGCUAAGGAUCAAUAUCUUUAAAAAUUCAAACCAGAGGUAAGUUAUGAUUAUUCUUUUGUUAUAAAAAAAUUUCUUCUGCCUAUAAUUUCUUAGUGCCAUUCUGCUAUGUGCAAAAUCUUUGUCACAUUUCUCUAAAUUUUUGAUAGAGUUUCAUGAUUCCUAUUGUCAUUUUUUAACAUAAUUGAAUUGUUGAGUAUAGUUACUGGUUGUUCCAUGCUUCUUAUUCUCAUUUCCUAACAUAAUUCAAAUAGUUUCGUUUCCAAUUCGAUAUUUCAUUAAACGAGUUUGAAAUUUAAUUAAUGGAACCAAUAUCUGCCAUGUUUACAUAUCUAUUUUGUUGAGUUUACAUAUCUAUUCAAUAUAAUUUUUUUUUGAGUUUACAUAUCUAUUCAAUAUACAAUUUGUUGUAUAUAGAAUAUCAUGAUUUUGUUAGUCUUUUACUUAUAGCCCAUGAUUUUGUCUAAGAAUAGCUUUAGUUUGAGCAUUGAAUAUUGAAAAUAUUUAAACUGUUUAUCACUUUUAGACUUAGAUUAAUGUUAGAGAAUCAUGACUGACAUGUUAUUGAAGGGAUUAUAUACAACUGAUUACAAUUCAACAACAAGUACAAGCAUUAUUGAUGGAGCAUAUUAAUAUUAGCCAAAUGAUCCUUCUAAAUCCAUCCUUUGCGAGAUUUUCAGGGAGGGUAGGUAAAAACUUAUAAGGUGAGGGAUGUCUCCCACCUAUAAACUCAAUCUCAGGCCAUAUCUUGAGACUCUCAUGUUAUAUUUUUUGGAUUUGAAUUUGAUUUAUUUAUAAAAACAUGUUUAAGCAACAAAUUGGUGGUUAAAAUUUGGUAAAUUUCAGGGAAGAAAUGGAAGGGGCUUUUUGUUUUCAGAUGUAAUGAUUGUUAGAGUGGGCCAAUAGAAGAGAAGGAACUGAUAACAGGUCUCUAUACAUACUUGAGAAGUCUAAAGUAUUUAGGGAAAAUUUGCAGUUGCUGAAGUCACGGAUUGAGGAUUUGGUUUAAACGCAGUAACUGUGUCGUUAUUGAUUUUGGCCAUUUGAUAUUAAAUUAACGAGAAGAUGAUUUAAUGAUGAUUUAGAAAAGAGGUGAGAGGAGUUGACUGAUCUCAAAUCGAUGGCUAAGAUCGACUAAUGCAUGUAACUGUUUGCUUAAAUCCUAUUUUAUUCUAUGUAUAGGUUAAUAUAUUCUACAUGUUAAAUUUCAAUU